rnacentral:lncRNA from 10 species
CUGCCUGAGUCUUCUGACCUUCAUCUUUCCCCUGUGUUGGAUGCCUCCUGCCCUCAAACAUCAGACUCCAGGUUCUUCAGCUUUUGGACUCUUGGACCUACCCCCCGAGUGGUUUGCCAGGGGCUCUCAGGCCUUCGGCUACAGACUGAGGGCUGCAUUAUCAGCUUUCCUACUUUUGAGGUUUUGGGACUUUACUGGCUUUCUUGCUCCUCAACUUGCAGAUGGCCUGUUGUGGGACCUCACCUUGUGAUCAUGUACAUGAGGGAAAUACACACCCCUCCCAGGGAUGAUGGAAGGUUAAGGUCCUAACACCUCCUGCACAUCUGAGCAGCUGCACAUUGAACCAGAUAGUCCUGGAAUGUGGGAAAACAGAGGCAGACUCAAGAGUCUGGAACAUUAUUUUAGGAUCACACAAAAAAGAUACAUAAUUUUCAUAGGGUGAGUCUGUUACAGCAAUGGGAUGCCCAGGUUAAGUUUAUGGAAAGA